AUACCGUGGUGUGGGCAUGCUUGAAUGUAGUCCUGGAGACAUUCCUAGACUUCCGGGAUGGUUUCAUCCGGGAUUUGUUGAAUUCUAGAAAUCCUAUUCUGAAGGGC